rnacentral:rRNA from 1 species
UACGUAGGUGGCAAGCGUUGUCCGGAUUUAUUGGGUUUAAAGGGUGCGUAGGCGGUUUUGCAAGUCAGUGCUGAAAUAUCCCGGCUUAACCGGGAGGGUGGCAUUGAUACUGCAGGACUUGAGUAGAGUUGAGGUUGGCGGAAUUGACGGUGUAGCGGUGAAAUGCUUAGAUAUCGUCAAGAACACCGAUAGUGAAGACAGCUAACUAAGCUCAAACUGACGCUGAGGCACGAAAGUGUGGGGAUCGAACAGG